GACGAACGCUGGCGGCGUGCUUAACACAUGCAAGUCGAACGGAAAGGCCCUGCUUUUGUGGGGUGCUCGAGUGGCGAACGGGUGAGUAACACGUGAGUAACCUGCCCUUGACUUUGGGAUAACUUCAGGAAACUGGGGCUAAUACCGGAUAGGAGCUCCUGCUGCAUGGUGGGGGUUGGAAAGUUUCGGCGGUUGGGGAUGGACUCGCGGCUUAUCAGCUUGUUGGUGGGGUAGUGGCUUACCAAGGCUUUGACGGGUAGCCGGCCUGAGAGGGUGACCGGCAACAUUGGGACUGGGAGACGGCCCAGACUCCUACGGGAGGCAGCAGUGGGGAAUAUUGCACAAUGGGCGGAAGCCUGAUGCAGCAACGCCGCGUGCGGGAUGACGGCCUUCGGGUUGUAAACCGCUUUCGCCUGUGACGAAGCGUGAGUGACGGUAAUGGGUAAAGAAGCACCGGCUAACUACGUG
rnacentral:rRNA from 1 species